GAUGAACGCUAGCGGCAGGCUUAAUACAUGCAAGUCGUGGGGCAGCAGGUCUGUAGCAAUACAGAUGCUGGCGACCGGCAAACGGGUGCGGAACACGUACACAACUUUCCUUUAAGUGGGGAAUAGCCCAGAGAAAUUUGGAUUAAUACCCCUUAACAUAGUGAAAAGGCAUCUUUUUAUUAUUAUAGCAGCAAUGCGCUUAAUGAUGGGUGUGCGUAUGAUUAGGUAGUUGGCGGAGUAAUAGCUCACCAAGACUACGAUCAGUAACUGGUGGGAAAGCACGACCAGUCACACGGGCACUGAGACACGGGCCCGACUACUACGGGAGGCAGCAGUAAGGAAUAUUGGGCAAUGGACGCAAGUCUGACCCAGCCAUGCCGCGUGGAGGAUGAAGGUCCUCUGGAUUGUAAACUUCUUUUAUCUGGGAAGAAAUCCAUCUUUUCUUGAGUGGUUGACGGUACCAGAUGAAUAAGCACCGGCUAACUCCGUGCCAGCCGCCGCCGUAAUAC
rnacentral:rRNA from 1 species